UUGCCGUACAGAAACGAUCUCCAUGGCAACUGCUAUUCCCCUCAGCGGAGCAGCAUCGGAUCUUUACCACAGACAAUCACUUCGAAACGAUCGUCCUGCUAGCAAUUGUUUUCCUCUUGUUUUAUUUUAAUGUUUUUUUCUGUUUUACACAGUUGCUUUGCUAAAUACUUGGCAGUGCGUGAAUGGGAAUCAAAGACACAUUUCUGCUUCGCUAGCCCGCUAACGUUAGUGUGGUAGUAAAUUAGUGUAAUGGAUCAGUACGUUAUUCUGGGCAGGAUUGGGGAAGGAGCUCACGGAAUUGUUUUCAAAGCCAAACACAUCGAGACAGGAGAGACGGUGGCUUUGAAAAAAGUAGCUCUGCGAAGACUUGAAGAUGGAAUUCCAAACCAGGCCCUACGAGAAAUCAAAGCCCUGCAAGAGAUUGAGGACAACCAAUAUGUGGUGAAGCUGAAGGACGUCUUCCCCCACGGUACAGGCUUUGUGCUGGUGUUUGAGUACAUGUUGUCAGAUCUGUCAGAAGUCAUUCGGAAUUCCCAGCGUCCUCUCACCGCAUCCCAGGUCAAAGGUUACAUGAUGAUGCUGCUGAAAGGAGUGGCUUUCUGCCACGAGAACUCCAUCAUGCACCGGGAUCUGAAGCCUGCAAACCUUCUAAUCAGCUCGACGGGUCACCUGAAGAUCGCUGACUUCGGUCUGGCCAGGCUCUUUUCCAAUGAAGGAGUUCGUCUGUACAGUCACCAGGUGGCCACCAGAUGGUACAGAGCGCCAGAACUUUUGUAUGGUGCCCGGAAAUAUGAUGAAGGAGUUGAUCUCUGGGCAGUGGGCUGUAUUUUUGGGGAGCUGUUGAACAACUCUCCACUUUUCCCCGGGGAGAAUGACAUUGAGCAGUUGUGUUGUGUGUUACGAGUGCUGGGAACUCCCAACCACAAAGUUUGGCCAGAAAUAACAGAACUACCAGACUGCAAUAAGAUCACGUUUAAAGAAAACCCCCCCAUUCCUUUGGAGGAGAUCGUGCCUGACACGUCAACGCAAGCUGUGGACCUGCUGAAGAAGUUCCUCGUCUAUCCAUCCAAACAGAGGAUCAGUGCUAGACAGGCUUUGCUCCAUCCGUAUUUCUUCACAGACCCUCUCCCGGCUCAUCACUCAGAGCUGCCCAUCCCUCAGCGUGGAGGAAAGCACUCCAGACCGCAUGCAACCCCCUUAUGAAUUCACAGUGGAUCGACCUUUACACGAGAGCUUGGUGGACCCCAGUCUGAUCCAGAGACAUGCGCGGAGCUGUUUAUGACAGCGUGCAGACUGAUGUGGGAUAUUUCCAGACUUUUUUGUGCAUUUGUACUCAUUUCGGCACCACUUUUGCUGAAGCUGACCUGUCUUUGGCUCCGCCCACUGUCCCCACAUGUCUAACCUCAAUCACCCACAAUGCCAGAGCACAGAAACCUUCACACAUAAAGUUCUGCCCCAUCAGCGGCGCUCAUCUUCAUCGCAGACACCUGUCCUGAAGACUGAAGAGAUAAGCUCAGUUCCUGACAGACAUGGAGACCUCCGUUGAACAGGCUCGCUGGGUUUCCUCCUCCAUGGCAUCAUCAGAGGUGAU